AAUUAGUAUAAAUGGGUAACAAAUGGAGGACUAGGAUGUUAUAUUUAAGGACGGUAUUAAUAACGAAAUCGGCAAGGAGAUACGAUGAAAGCUGAAUUUCCUAAAGGGAAACCAUAAAGGGGCGUCUGUCUCUUGAAUACCCUGGGAAUUGAAACAUCUUAGUACCAGGAGAAAAAAGAAAUCAAGCGAGAUUCCGUUAGUAGUGGCGAGCGAAAGCGGAUAUAGAUGUAAGAGAUCGGUAAAUCCAAAACCGAAGAGGGUGUCAGGCCUGUAGAUUAAUCGGUCGAGGGGUAACCAAGAGUAAAAUUAUUUGAAGAGAGGUAUACCACAUAUCUAAAACUAAAUAAUAAUAACAUACCUAUAGUUAAUUAGUACUGUGAAGGAAAGUUGAAAGAGAUGNUAGUGAAAUAGAACCUGAAAUUUGUUAACUUACAAGCAGACGAAAUCGUCGUACCUUUUGUAUAAUGGGUUCGCCAGAUAAAUAUUUGGCAAACUUAAGUUGAUAGACGUAGGUGAAGCGAAAGCGAGUUUUAAUAGAGCGUUAGUCAAAUAGAACCCGAAACUAAGUGAUCUAGCCAUGGACAGUUUGAAGUCUACCGAGUAGGUGGAUGGAGGAGCGAACCGGUGAAUGUGGCNAAAUUCUCGGAUGAUCUGUGGUUAGGGGUAAAAAGCCAAUCGAACUUGGUGAUAGCUGGUUUUCUGCGAAAACUAUUGAAGUAGUGCGUCAUAAUGAUAUUCUUACACGGUAAAGCACUGAAUGGGUUUAGGGGCUUAGGUUUACUAAAUUUAACCAAACUAUGAAUGUGUGGGAAGUAAUUAUGAUAGACAGACAAUGGGCGAAAAGGUUAAUUGUCAAAAGGGGAAUAACCAAGAUCAGAAGUUAAGAUCAUCAAAAUAAUCUAAGGGUAAAAGGAGAUUUAAGCUUAUAAAAGUGUUUAAAAUAAAGCCAAUGAGAAAGUAGGCUUUAAACCAGCCAUCUUUGAAAGAUUACGUAAUAGUUCACUCAAUAAAUUUUUAAACUUCAAAAAUUUAGGUGGCUUAAGUUAUAGAUUUUAAUGCGUAUCGAAACUCUGAAUUUAUAGUAGUAGCAGAACGUACUGUAAGUAGGCAGAUAGGUAUUUUAGAUAGCGAAAGCCAAUAUCAGUAGUGAUAAUGCGAACAUAAGUAACAAAACAGUGUGAGAAGCACUGCUCAUGGCCUAAGGUUUCCAAUUACAAGAUAAUCUGAAUUGGGUUAUACAGCCCCUUAGUGGCUUGAAGUCGAUGGGAUAUUAAAUAAAUAGUGACUAAGGCGCAAGGAAGCAUUUAUUUUAAAAAGGCNGUACUAAAACUAACACAAGUGGGCUUAAAAGUGAUGGUAUAAUUUAUUUUAAGGAACUCGGCAAAAUGUCUCUGUAAGUUCGCGAGAAAGGGAGUUGGGAUGAAGGUAGGGUAGUCUUGGGUGGCUGCUAAGGUGUAUCUUGGCCUCAGAAAAGAGGGGGUGUCNACUGUUUACCAAAAACAUAGCUUCCAGCAAAGAGCCAGGGGGCUUGAAGUAUUGGAGGUGAUGCCUGCCCAAUGAUUGUAUUUAAACCCAAGUAAUAAAAUAAGUUAAUUUGGUUAAGGACAAUUAAAUGGCCGCGGUAAAACUGACCGUGAUAAUGUAGCGCAAUCAAUAGCCAAUUAAUUGUUGGCAAGUAUGAAUGGCUUAACGAAUGCCCCACUGUCUCAAGAUAAAAACCAGUGAAAUUGAAUUUGUAGUGAAGAUGCUACAUUCAAAUUGUUAGACGAGAAGACCCUAUUGAGCUUUACUGGAGGCUUAUAUUGUUCUUUUUUAAUUAAUUGUGUAGAUUAUGUGGGAAGUCUGUGUUUAGCAGGGUAAAUGAAAAACCACUCUUUAAUAUUAAAAAGAACUAAAAUCGGAUGGUUAGAUUAAAAGAUGUAAGUCAGACAGUUUGGUUGGGGCGACUGCCUUCUAAAAAGUAACGAAGGUGUACAUAAGGUGAAUAAUAUAAUAGAAUAAAGUUUAAAGCCUGACAGCAAGGAGGACUUACCGAGCUGACACGGGAAGGGCUUGUGGGUUGUAUUGACCCGUUAAUUUAAGGUGGUAUAGUUAACGAGCAACGAAUAAAAGUUACCAUAGGGAUAACAGCGUAAUAUUGUUCGAGAGUUCAUAUCGACGACGAUGUUUGCGACCUCGAUGUUGAAUUGCGGUUUCCUAGAGGUGCAGCGGCUUCUAAGGGUUGGACUGUUCGUCCAUUAAAACCGUACAUGAUUUGAGUUCAGACCGGCGUGAGCCAGGUCGGUUUCUAUCUACAAUUUGAUUAAGAAACAUUAGAUAUAACUAUAUUCUAGUACGAAAGGACCGAAUAAUAGUUAUCCUCUGGUGAACCAAUUGCAUUAAUUGUUGUUGGGUAGCUACGAUAAUAAAAAUAAUCACUGCAAGCAUCUCAAGUGAGAAGUUAAAUAUUAAUCUAUGUUUCUAAAAACCGUUUGAGAAUAAAACGUUGAUAGGAUCUGUGUGCACCAGCGCAUGUGCGCUUUAAGUUAAAGAUUACUAAGGUUUUAUAUACUAAUUUU
rnacentral:rRNA from 1 species